GUUUUUUCAGAAAUAUUAAAUCAUGAUUUUUGGUGUUUUUUUU
rnacentral:sRNA from 1 species